rnacentral:rRNA from 1 species
UACGAAGGGUGCAAACGUUGCUCGGAAUUAUUGGGCGUAAAGCGCACGUAGGCGGCAUAGCAAGUCGGAUGUGAAAUCCCUCGGCUCAACCAAGGAAGUGCAUCCGAAACUGCUGUGCUUGAGUACGAAAGAGGAUCGCGGAAUUCCCGGUGUAGAGGUGAAAUUCGUAGAUAUCGGGAGGAACACCGGUGGCGAAGGCGGCGACCUGGGUAGAUACUGACGCUGAGGUGCGAAAGCGUGGGGAGCAAACAGG